UACGUAGGAGGCAAGCGUUGUCCGGAUUUACUGGGCGUAAAGCGCGCGCAGGCGGCAGUGCAAGUAAGGUGUGAAAUCUCCCUGCUCAACGGGGAGGGUGCAUUUUAGACUGCACAGCUAGAGGUCGGUAGAGGGGGGUGGAAUUGCUGGUGUAGCGGUGAAAUGCGUAGAGAUCAGCAGGAACACCCGUGGCGAAGGCGGCCCCCUGGGCCGUACCUGACGCUG
rnacentral:rRNA from 1 species